rnacentral:misc_RNA from 1 species
GAUGAAGAACGCAGCGAAAUGCGAUAAGUAAUGUGAAUUGCAGAAUUCAGUGAAUCAUCGAAUCUUUGAACGCACAUUGCGCCCCUUGGUAUUCCGAGGGGCAUGCCUGUUCGAGCGUCAUUAUAACCCCUCAAGCUUAGCUUGGUGUUGGGGCCUGCUGUAAUAGAGCAGCCCAUAAAAUCAGUGGCGGUGCCAUUAGGCUCUAAGCGUAGUAAUUCUUCUCGCUAUAGGGUUCUGGUGGAUGCUUGCCAUUAACCUCUAAUUUUCUAUGGUUGACCUCGGAUCAGGUAGGGAUACCCGCUGAACUUAAGCAUAUCAAUAAGCGAGGA